CUGGGACAGACCAUGCAAGGAUGGUCUUAUAUGCUGCUCUAAUGGAUGUGGUUUCACAUGCAGAAAACCAAUUCCAGUUUAGCACAAACUUUGUGGAAAACAUCUGCUCAUUCCUCACUGUCGUGAUGAUAAUGAUGGUGAAUGCAGCUGCAAGAAGAAGUGCUCUUUAAACAGAUGUGAAGACAUCUGUUAACAACGUUUUUUUCCCUUAAAAACACCAACUGAGCUGCACCAUACAGUCCAGUAUGCUCUUCUUUGGUUUCUUUAAUAAAGUCAUAAUGAUUAAAAACUCA